AUGGCAUUUUUUACACUAAACAUUUUUUUGAAGGCAAGGAGUUCAUUUUUCUUCUUCAUUUUUUGCUGUUUUUGUUUUUGUUUUACUUUUCCUAAUUUUGGGGGCUUUCUAUUCACGUCUGAGAAGAGGCCCAACAAAAUGGGCUAUUGGGGCCUUUUUCAGAUCGUGCUGAUGGGGAUAGUUCGGGGUGGAGGGGUUUCGUCCCGAACCUUUUCGUUCGGUAAAAAGGUGCAUCCUCGAGCGAACAAGUCGUUCAGUCUGGUGCUCCUCCAAGCCGAACGGUCGGCACUUAUCGAUGUCCUAAAAGAAAUAGUGUGGGAAGAAAGAAGUAUUGGGACUGCGUAUCCAAGCAAUUGA
rnacentral:rRNA from 1 species